rnacentral:lncRNA from 10 species
UCCCUUCCUCAUCUCAGCUUUCUCCUACAAGAAGCUAAAUCUCUCCUAAGGCCUCUCACAUGCAGAUCUGUGAGUGAGAACCUGGAAGAAUACCAAACUAUGUUUUCAUAGGACUAUAUUUUCAGGAGUUUUACUUCUCCUUAACACAGUCUAUUCUCUUGGAAGAAGAAAUGAAUAAUGACUUUCCCUAGCCUGGGAAAUGUGGGUCUCUGAGUUCUCACGAUGCUCUGUAAUUUUCUCCUUGUUGAUAUCUGGCUUCAUCGAGUGCCGCAGACCAAAGCUCUUAGAGAGAACCUGCCAUGCAGGCCCAAUGACUGUUAUUUCAUGAGCAAUCACUCAAGCAUCCCUGCAAUACAUGGGAUUAUCAGGUAUACCUGGGGACUCUAAGGCCGACCAACAUGGAUGUUAAAAUCAUAAACCCUAUUUCCACGACUCUGUCCCUACCCUUCGUAGGUAUCAGGCACCCCAAACUGCACCCUUCAGUACCCACAGAGAGUUUCAAGGGUUGCCUAGAAGGUGUUGCACAGGUACUCAGAAACACAGUUCUCCUGGUUGCCCAAAUGAUCCUGAACCUUUCCUAUUGCCUUGUUCUUUUCCCACUGCCAUACACUAAAGCCACCCAGAAUAUGUCCCCAUUUUCUCCCUGUUCCAGAUAGAAAAUCAGGCUCCCUGCCUGCGCUGUGGCACAUUUUCCCCCCAGUGCAGGUUACAAAGCAGCACAUGCUACCUUGUAUAUUUAAUGCUCCCACUGUUUGGAGUUAAUAGGAAAGAUACAUUAAUUAUAUUUCACUAUUAUCAUAAUAGCCUUUUGUUCUUGUUUUUUUGAGACAGAGUCUCACUCUGUUGCCCAGGCUGGAGCCCACUGGUGCGAUCUCGGUUCACUGCGAACUCCGCCUCCUAGGUUCAAGCAAUUCUCCUGCCUCAGCCUCCCGAGUAGCUGGGAUCACAGGCAUGUGCCACCACACCUGGUUAAUUUUUGUAUUUUUAGUAGAGAUGGGGUUUUGCUAUGUUGGCCAGGCUGGUCUCGAACUCCUGACCUCAGCUGAUCUGCCCACCUUGACCUACCAAAUUGCUGGGGUUACAAGCGUGAACCACCGCCCCUGGCCCCAUAGUAGCCUUUUUUGGGUACUUUCCAAGUUCCACAAGCUCUAUGCUAAGUGUUCUAUGGUGAUCCCUGUGAUACCAAGCAUCCUACCCGUGAAAAAGCAUGAUGAAGAAAGUGAAGGAAUUUGCUAACCUUCACGCAAGCUACAGAGACCUUGGCUUCAAAACAGGAUUACGUUUCUUUCCAAAGCCCAUACUUUUCACUGUUUUGUCCUACACAGGAGAUUCCCGAGCUAAAAAAAGAACAUUCAGUAAUAGCUGAAAAGAACGUUCCGCAAUAAGAAACAACUACACUAAGAAUGCAGCCCUUCAUAGUUUGAUCUGAAACGGUUUCAUCCAGGCCUGUAUUCUCCAACUCACUUUACCCUUAGGAUGAGGUUUGUUAUUGUUCCCAGAAUACAUAGCUGCCCUUCAGCAAAUGAACAGAUUGUGGGGCAGCCCCACUGGCCCAGAUAGUCUGAGCCAUAUGAUUCAAGGGAGCUCUGAUGAGACUUUCAAACUGCACUCUUCAUACUCCUACCCCUCCUCCCAACACAGGCACACUUGUACCUUUGAGCAGACUAUCCAUCAAAGUACACACUUUCAUUU